UGGAGCUACAAGUGGCUGUCUACCCGGGCAUUGCGCACAAGUUUGCCAUGUUUAUUGAACAAGUGAGAGCUCAUCAUAGCAUGGUUAGGCAGCUAGAGCUUGAACUAAUGCACUAAUGUUUGAAAACGAGGAUCUCUUCGAAGAUGUGGCCAAUUUAAGAAACCGGCUUCGAUUAACGGAGCUAAGUCUGCAAAGUGUUGGAGAACAGUUAAGUCAGUCAGGAGGACAUGACAGCGACCAGUCUGUGCAGCAAAGUCCCCCAAUUGCGUUUCCAGG